UGCAGGCUUGCUUCUAUGUGAAACUCCUUCGAAGAGUCGAGUUGUUUGGGAAUGCAGCUCAAAAUGGGUGGUAAAUUUCAUCUAAAGCUAAAUAUUGGCGGGAGACCGAUAGCGCACAAGUAGAGUGAUCGAAAGAUGAAAAGCACUUUGAAAAGAGAGUUAAACAGUACGUGAAAUUGUUGAAAGGGGAGCGCUUGCAAUCAGACUCGCCUUCAGUUGAUCAGCCUUCCUUCUGGUGGGUGCACUCUGCUGUUGGUGGGCCAGCAUCAGUUGGGGCGGUGGGACAAAGGCGGCAGGAAUGUGGCUCGCUUCGGUGAGUGUUAUAGCCUGCUGUAUCAUGCCACCAGCCCUGACUGAGGUCCGCGGUUCGCCUAGGAUGCUGGCUUAAUGGUUGU
rnacentral:rRNA from 1 species